GCAGCAGUGGGGAAUAUUGCACAAUGGGGGAAACCCUGAUGCAGCCAUGCCGCGUGUGUGAAGAAGGCCUUCGGGUUGUAAAGCACUUUCAGUUGUGAGGAAAGGUUAGUAGCUAAUAACUGCUAGCUGUGACGUUAGCAACAGAAGAAGCACCGGCUAACUCCGUGCCAGCAGCCGCGGUAAUACGGAGGGUGCGAGCGUUAAUCGGAAUUACUGGGCGUAAAGCGUGCGUAGGCGGUUGAUUAAGCGAGGUGUGAAAUCCCGGGGCUUAACCUCGGAACUGCACUUCGAACUGGUCGACUAGAGUUUUGUAGAGGGUGGUGGAAUUUCCAGUGUAGCGGUGAAAUGCGUAGAGAUUGGAAGGAACAUCAGUGGCGAAGGCGGCCACCUGGACAAAAACUGACGCUGAGGCACGAAAGCGUGGGGAGCAAACAGGAUUAGAUACCCUGGUAGUCCACGCCGUAAACGAUGUCAACUAGCUGUCUGUGUACUUGAUACGUGGGUAGCGUAGCUAACGCGCUAAGUUGACCGCCUGGGGAGUACGGCCGCAAGGUUAAAACUCAAAUGAAUUGACGGGGGCCCGCACAAGCGGUGGAGCAUGUGGUUUAAUUCGAUGCAACGCGAAGAACCUUACCAUCCCUUGACAUCCAGCGA
rnacentral:rRNA from 1 species